UCACUGCCACCUCAUCUAGGCGACGAAUCUAAAACGAAAUAAUAUUAUUCUAAUUAAGUUCAUUGUUAUACACCACAGUAAUACUCAAUCAAUAAUCUUCUUCUAAACAAUGUUAUUGUAUGUGUCCAUAUCGGAAUAAUACUCCUAUGACGAUUUUGGAUCAUAAGAGCGACCGGGUGGGCCAUUGAAAUAAGAAACAGAACACCAACCAAUUCAAUAAUUAAUGAAGGUUGAGUAUUUGAAAUAAAUUCAUAUUUCAACUUAUUAUAGCAUAAGAAAUUAAACACAAAGAUAAAUGAAUGAUGUUAGUUAAAUGUAAUAAAAUAGAAUUACGAUAGUUUUAAUAUUGUUUGGACACAUCAAAUUAAAAAUUAAAGCAUUAAAAAUAUUCAGAAAAAUAUGGCUUUAUAUUCCAUAACGUGCAGUAAUUGGUGCUGGAUGUAAGGUAUUUUUGCAAUCACCAAUAAAUUUUCAUUUUUUGAGACAAAAAUGUAAAAAUAUAUUUUUUAUCUUGUAUAUGAAAAGGUUAGGUUUAGGAAAUGGUUGACGACAAAAUUCAGAUAUAGAGGAAUUGUUGCAAAAUUUCAAUGACUUAUCUGUGGAUGGAGGAUGAGAACUCUCUCUGUUUCAAAGUAUACGAUGAUUCUGUAGAAGAUAUGGAGGAAUGUAUAUAUUCUUUAACUUAGAAGCAAUGAUUGAAAUGCUGCCAGACCUUGAUGUGAAGGGAUAUCUGCACAAUGAAGGAUCCUUUCCUUUGAAGGAGAUGAGAUUCACCGAGUGAGGUACAAAGAGGCGAGAUGCCUUGAACAUGAAGUCGCAGAGAGGAUCAGAAGUCGUGUGGAUUGGAUCUCGAUCAGGACCUGGAACUAGAAAGACCCGGAGCAUGAGGACUUGGACUUAACCUGAACACUGGA
rnacentral:lncRNA from 1 species